rnacentral:rRNA from 1 species
AGUGAACGCUGGCGGUAGGCCUAACACAUGCAAGUCGAACGGCAGCACAGUAAGAGCUUGCUCUUACGGGUGGCGAGUGGCGGACGGGUGAGGAAUACAUCGGAAUCUACUUUUUCGUGGGGGAUAACGUAGGGAAACUUACGCUAAUACCGCAUACGACCUACGGGUGAAAGCAGGGGAUCUUCGUACCUUGCGCGAUUGAAUGAGCCGAUGUCGGAUUAGCUAGUUGGCGGGGUAAAGGCCCACCAAGGCGACGAUCCGUAGCUGGUCUGAGAGGAUGAUCAGCCACACUGGAACUGAGACACGGUCCAGACUCCUACGGGAGGCAGCAGUGGGGAAUAUUGGACAAUGGGCGCAAGCCUGAUCCAGCCAUACCGCGUGGGUGAAGAAGGCCUUCGGGUUGAAAAGCCCUUUUGUUGGGAAAGAAAAGCAGCAGGUUAAUACCCCGCUGUUCUGACGGUACCCAAAGAAUAAGCACCGGCUAACUUCGUG